GCACUAUUCAUUUGUAUUUUUCUUUCUGUCUUUCUGAAGAAGGAAUAUUUGUUUAGGGGACUAUAGUUGUCAGUAAUCGGCCUGAAGCAGUCUGUUAGCUUCAAAGAACUAAAUCCAUAGUUUGAGUGUUUUUUAAAUACUUAUUGAGAUUUUCUUGACACACCUGAGGACAGUUUUCCACUGGAAGACAGCAUGGUCUAAUUAUGGAAUUCUAUGUGGGUUAAUACGGCUAGGGUAAAGACUGUUAGGGAAUGAGUGGUGAGCUGUGUGGCUGGAGAAAUCAGCUCGAACCUGUUAAGUCGUUUGAGGGGGUUUAGACAUUAUUUUCAGGGCAGAGGGAAGGCUUUGAAAGGCUUCAAAGAGUGAUAUGAUUGGAAUUUCUUUUUAAAGAAAGCUCACUUUCGUGGCAUUGUGGCGAAUGGAUUGGACGGGAAUAAACAUGAAAGGAGGGAGAUGAACUGGAAUACUCCAGAAGAGAUGACGGUCGCCUGAACUUGGGUGGAAGCAGCGAUAAUGGAGAGAAAGAAAUAUACACUGAAGAUAAUGGGCAGCAUUAUCUGCAUUUAAAAUAUUCCUUCCAGAAUUUUUUUCUUCCUGAUUGCUGCUGUUGCUUAAACAUUGGUGAGCACUAGCUGACUAUAAGAUGAUUAAGCAAAUGAUUAGGAAUUGAUGGAAAUACUUCAAUUCAACAGCUUAUUAAAAAAUCAGACAAGCGGUUAUUGAGAUUUUUUAUAUACUUAUAAUACAGUCAUAUUUUUUCCAACUUAAAUUGUUCCAGUUCUCAUGAUGAAAUUAUAUCAGUAGUUUGUAUUGAAAAAAAUAAUUUGAAUUUUUUACAGUCAUUGGUGGAAC
rnacentral:lncRNA from 1 species